UUGUUCCACACAAAUUACACAUGGACAUCUAGCUAUUUUUUUUAUUGGCAUUCACAAAAUGGGACUGGAUGUUGGACGGCUUACCAAAGCCUUCCUGCUACCCGAAUCCCUGCUUGGAAACCUGCUGGCCGCGGCGGCACCAUGUUUUCACCACACUCUUCCGCUUCAGCUGUCUUUUUUGCCUCAUGGCUAUACCCACACUGACCACUCCUUCAAUGAAGACAGUAAUGAGAUCAUCUGCACACUCCACAGAGCUCCAGAGUUACUGUUCAUAGCAAAAGUGUAAUGCUGUCCUUGGAGAUUUUCACCUAAGACUGUGAGUGUGAGUGUGUAAUGGAUUUCAAAGUGUUUAAGUGUUCAGAGCACUCUACAGCCUGGUAAGGUGGCAAGUUUGAAAAGAGCAGCAGAAGGUAUCAGUACUGUAGUGUAACUUGUUCUUUUCCUUUCCUAACAGUGAACAGAGUGCCGAUUAUUAUCGACAGCUACGUCCACCCGGGGUGAAAGUAGUGUGGGAGACCAUCAGGACCCAGCUGGGUUUCCUUGGUCCAGAGGUUUGGAGAAACCUCUUCCUUUUCUUUCAUCACAGCUGUCCUGUGCCAGAUGUUCUGUUGACCCACUGAGAGAGGCGUGUUUGAGAAAGAUCAGGAAGACUGAAGCUCAUGGUAGGAAUGAAGGAGGACCUUGUGAGCUCCACCAGCAGCUCCCUCACAAGGAACUGUUCACAAGUCCACUGCAGGCACGCCCCAGAAGAUGGAUAAAGGCAGCGUUUCAUGAAGACACUGGAACCAAUCUAUCUUCAUAACAGCAGGAUAAAGACAUGGUGAUAAAUGAGUGUGUGGGCCGUCUGCUGAGGACCAGGAGCUCAGGACACUCAGACGGGGGCGUCGCAGCAGGAGUCACCGCGCACCACAAUCCUCUGCUGUUCUGAGAUGUCACACUCCUGCCUGCACAUAGAAACCACAGUGAAGUCAAAGUUCCACCUGCACCUCCACCUGUUCUUGCAACAGCAUGAACACUGACAGAGGUGAGACAGCAGAAGAGUUUUUGUCUAUUUUUUGUUUUGUUUUGUUUUUUACUAAGUUAAGGAAUUAAGUGAAGAAGAGUGAUUAAAUAAAUUGUUUCUUGCAGUUUUGAUUUAAUGAUUGUGUUUAGGAUUAUUUCAGAAACAUGUUUAGAGGAUCUUUGUAAGCCUGUAUUUCCUUUAAAAGAAGGGAAGCACUUCUUCAUUCUACAGAAAAGGUGACACAUUACAGAUGACUUCAUAAAAACCACAGUGAGCCAGUUGGAUAAACAGCAGCCUAAUCAGACUUCUGCAGAGUCUCAAAGUUUUUUUGGAGUCUGCUUCUUGUGUCCAACAGGACGAAUUCUGUCCAUAAACAAAGGAUUUGAAAAU